GAAGACCGCCAUGGAUUGGGGAAACGUGAUCGUUGUGUACCCGAUCGAUGUCCUCCACAACUCAGAGUUCUUCAUCCGAUUCACCUUCCCCGGAUCGAUCCUACUCCAAAUGGAAUAGUCGAUUCAAGUGCAACCUCUACUACUACAGGACCAAUUACUUCAUUCUGAUCAUGUUCCUUCCGGCCAUGGGGUUUCUUUCGAAGCCUCUUGCCGUUGUUGUUGCCUUUCUCACAGGUCUAAGCAUCCCAUUCUUAGAUGAAAGCUAGUUGCAUCCUUUGACUGACCUCCUGUAGCCUCCUUACAGUGCUUUGGGCACUCAGCAUUGGACUGCUAGGUAACUAUAAUUUAGCAUUUGUCUGUUAUUAGGCAUAAAUAUUUUGACAAGUCCCAUAUUAAUUGU